rnacentral:rRNA from 1 species
GCAAGUCGAGCGGUAACAGAAAGUAGCUUGCUACUUUGCUGACGAGCGGCGGACGGGUGAGUAAUGCUUGGGAACAUGCCUUGAGGUGGGGGACAACAGUUGGAAACGACUGCUAAUACCGCAUAAUGUCUACGGACCAAAGUGGGGGACCUUCGGGCCUCACGCCAAUAGAUUAGCCCAAGUGAGAUUAGCUAGUAGGUAAGGUAAUGGCUCACCAAGGCGACGAUCCCUAGCUGGUCUGAGAGGAUGAUC